rnacentral:lncRNA from 1 species
GGUCUUUGCCGAGCUCCGUGCUCGCUAUAGCCGGAGUUAAUCCUCCUGUUUGCAUGAAGUUUCUCUCUUCUGCAACCAAUUCAAAGGUCGACAACUUCCUGAAAGGAUCCAUUUAAAACUCAAAUAAGUAACAACAUCUCAACCAUGUGAAAGUGUAAUGAUGCUUCAAUUGUUCUUUUACCAUUAUGACGAUUUUGAAUGUAACUCGUAUAUAAAGAUCUUAGAUAUGAAAGGGCUCUGAUUGAUGAUUGUCAAAACAGUUUAAAACCGCAGACUUACGUGGGGUAAGAACACAAAAAUAGAUUUUUGCUGUAACCCUUUAGGCUCAGACGAGAGAAGAUGCUAACCUGAGCUGAGGAAAAUGAAGGUAAAGGAGGGGUUUUUGGUGAUUCGCCGAUUGUGACGCCGGUGAUAGGAGCGAUUAGCACCGAGAAGGGAUGAAAAAACGAUUCUUUCAAUUGGGUUAUCGAAGGAAUCUUCGUAUGAGCAUAGUGAUCAAGUCGGGUUUUCGAGAGCUAGG